rnacentral:rRNA from 1 species
GAUGAACGCUAGCGGCAGGCCUAACACAUGCAAGUCGAACGGUAACAUAGAUUGCUUGCAAUCUGAUGACGAGUGGCGCACGGGUGCGUAACGCGUAUGCAAUCUACCUUUUACAGGAGAAUAGCCCAGAGAAAUUUGGAAUAAUGCUCCAUAAUAUCAUUUAUCAGCAUUGAUUUAUGAUUAAAGCUCCGGCGGUAAAAGAUGAGCAUGCGUUCUAUUAGCUAGUAGGUGAGGUAACGGCUCACCUAGGCAACGAUAGAUAGGGGCCCUGAGAGGGGGAUCCCCCACACUGGUACUGAGACACGGACCAGACUCCUACGGGAGGCAGCAGUGAGGAAUAUUGGACAAUGGAGGAAACUCUGAUCCAGCCAUGCCGCGUGCAGGAUGACUGCCCUAUGGGUUGUAAACUGCUUUUAUAUAGGAAGAAACACCCCGACGUGUCGGGGCUUGACGGUACUGUAAGAAUAAGGAUCGGCUAACUCCGUGCCAGCAGCCGCAGUAAAAC